GAAAAUUUGCUCUUUGAGUAGUUUGUCCAGUUGGUUUCCUCAAGGAGAAAGCCCCC
rnacentral:snRNA from 1 species